CACGUGGCUGCUACUCUUUUUGCCAUUGAUGCCUGUGUGCUUGUACAGCAAGACGUGUCAUGUUCAUACUUGCAACACUUAACAGACUCAACAUGUGAUGAUGAAGUCUCAGCUCCAGAUGAAAUCAACCAGACAAGCAAUGACACUUGGAGCUCAGACACAUCUGUAUCGCCCCCAACUGCAGAAGAAAUCCAGCUGUUUUAUAAGAGUCUUG